rnacentral:rRNA from 1 species
AGAUUGAACGCUAGCGGGAUGCUUUACACAUGCAAGUCGAACGGCAGCGCGGACUUCGGUCUGGCGGCGAGUGGCGAACGGGUGAGUAAUAUAUCGGAACGUGCCCAGUAGCGGGGGAUAACUACGCGAAAGCGUGGCUAAUACCGCAUACGCCCUACGGGGGAAAGGGGGGAUUCUUCGGAACCUCUCACUAUUGGAGCGGCCGAUAUCAGAUUAGCUAGUUGGUGAGGUAAAGGCUCACCAAGGCGACGAUCUGUAGCUGGUUUGAGAGGACGACCAGCCACACUGGGACUGAGACACGGCCCAGACUCCUACGGGAGGCAGCAGUGGGAAUUUGGACAAUGGGGAAACCUGAUCCAGCCAUCCCGCGUGUGCGAUGAAGGCCUCGGUUGUAA